UACGUAGGGUGCAAGCGUUAAUCGGAAUUACUGGGCGUAAAGCGUGCGCAGGCGGUUUUGUAAGUCUGAUGUGAAAUCCCCGGGCUCAACCUGGGAAUUGCAUUGGAGACUGCAAGGCUAGAAUCUGGCAGAGGGGGGUAGAAUUCCACGUGUAGCAGUGAAAUGCGUAGAGAUGUGGGGGAACACCGAUGGCGAAGGCAGCCCCCUGGGUCAAGAUUGACGCUCAUGCACGAAAGCGUGGGGAGCAAACAGG
rnacentral:rRNA from 1 species